UUCAUCUCACUUUCCAGCACAGUUUCCUGAGUGAUAAGAGGCUUAAAGGUGUCUUUUGUUAUACAUUCAUGAGUAAUUUGGAUGGUACCUAUCUGAUGGGCUGGUUGCCAGGGGAACCAACUUUGUGACUAGAGGACAGAACUUUCAGUCCCACCUCUUGGCUUCUAGAAGGAAAGAGAGCUGGAGGUUGAUCCAAUCACCAAUGGCCAAUGACUUAAUCAAUCAUCCCCAGUCAUGUCAUCUAGAACUUUACUAG
rnacentral:lncRNA from 1 species